GGAGCGACGCGGCAGCGGUUACUUCGACUUUCACUCGGCAGGUCGCGGGUUCGAAUCCCGCCCCGGCUCCU
rnacentral:tRNA from 1 species